rnacentral:rRNA from 1 species
GAUGAACGCUGGCGGCGUGCCUAAUACAUGCAAGUCGAGCGAACAGACGAGGAGCUUGCUCCUCUGACGUUAGCGGCGGACGGGUGAGUAACACGUGGAUAACCUACCUAUAAGACUGGGAUAACUUCGGGAAACCGGAGCUAAUACCGGAUAAUAUAUUGAACCGCAUGGUUCAAUAGUGAAAGACGGUUUUGCUGUCACUUAUAGAUGGAUCCGCGCCGCAUUAGCUAGUUGGUAAGGUAACGGCUUACCAAGGCAACGAUGCGUAGAUGACCUGAGAGGGUGAUCGGCCACACUGGAACUGAGACACGGUCCAGACUCCUACGGGAGGAAGCAGUAGGGAAUCUUCCGCAAUGGGCGAAAGCCUGACGGAGCAACGCCGCGUGAGUGAUGAAGGUCUUCGGAUCGUAAAACUCUGUUAUUAGGGAAGAACAAAUGUGUAAGUAACUAUGCACGUCUUGACGGUACCUAAUCAGAAAGCCACGGCUAACUACGUG